rnacentral:rRNA from 1 species
CGCCUGCCCUGUGACCACUGUGUUUAACGGCCGCGGUAUCAUAACCGUGCGAAGGUAGCGUAAUCACUUGUCUUUUAAAUGAAGACCUGUAUGAAUGGCACCACGAGGGUUUAACUGUCUCCUUCCCCCAGUCAAUGAAAUUGAUCUGCCCGUGCAGAAGCGGACAUAAAAACAUAAGACGAGAAGACCCUAUGGAGCUUUAGGCUAAAGGCCCAAAUACGCAAAAAAUUCCGCAUGAACAAAGAACAAACCAAAUUUAAACUUAGUAUAAUAAUGACCAUAUGCUUCGGUUGGGGCGACCACGGAGGAAAACAGAACCCCCGAAUAGAACGAAAAUAUCUUCCAAACCAAGAAAUACACUUCUAAGUAACAGAAAUUCUGACUAAACAUGACCCAGGACAAACUUUAAACCUGAUCAAUGAACCAAGUUACCCUAGGGAUAACAGCGCAAUCCUUUCCCAGAGUCCCUAUCGACGAAAGGGUUUACGACCUCGAUGUUGGAUCAGGACAUCCUAAUGGUGUAGCUGCUAUUAAGGGUUCGUUUGUUCGA